UUGUUCUACAUGUCCUGGCUGUUGAGCAGGGCGGUGUCAGGAGCAGAUCUGGGUCAUUGGAACAAGCCUCCUGGCCACGUGCAGAAGAUGGAAUGAAGGGGGCCGAGGUUAAGGUCACAGGGAACAGCUGGGAGGCAGCUGCCCGAGUUCCUGUGAGUCCUGACAAGACUACAGAGGGGCCGUGGGGCCGGACAGCCAGGGAUUCUGGGGCCAGAAGAGGCCUUGGUUGUGAGAGCGAUGUGAGAAAGGCACUUGAUAAGCUGCCUGCAGCAGUUUCUCCUAAGGGGUCUGCCAAAAACUGCGUGGGAUUUCAGGGUCUGGUUUUCUUCGCCUUCUUCAGGUCGGUUACAUUUCCCAGAAUGGUUCCCAGCGCUGGAGAUAAUUCCUUUUCGGAGAACCUACAUUUCUCACCUGCUGAUUGCAAUUAGCCACUGCCAGCUGGGGCCUGGUGUGCAGCUGAAAAGCUAACAAGAAGUGGAGACCACGCGGAACCCAGACAGGGCAGAGGAUGUGAAUAAAUACGGAAUGGUGCCCGUGUUUAUGAGUCGCUCCGCUGAAUUCCAGGUUUCCCGACCCUCUGGAUGGCCCUCCCUCUUCCGGCUCUGUGCUCCCCGCCCCUCCCCUACCAAUUUUUUUUUCUUUUUUUUUUUUUUUUUUUUUUUUUUU